UUAUGGCUCAGGAUGAACGCUGGCGGCGUGCUUAACACAUGCAAGUCGAACGGUGAACACGGAGCUUGCUCUGUGGGAUCAGUGGCGAACGGGUGAGUAACACGUGAGCAACCUGCCCCUGACUCUGGGAUAAGCGCUGGAAACGGCGUCUAAUACUGGAUACGAGUAGCGGCCGCAUGGUCAGUUACUGGAAAGAUUUAUUGGUUGGGGAUGGGCUCGCGGCCUAUCAGCUUGUUGGUGAGGUAAUGGCUCACCCAAGGCGUCGACGGGUAGCCGGCCUGAGAGGGUGACCGGCCACACUGGGACUGAGACACGGCCCAGACUCCUACGGGAGGCAGCAGUGGGGAAUAUUGCACAAUGGGCGGAAGCCUGAAUGCAGCAACGCCGCGUGAGGGAUGACGGCCUUCGGGUUGUAAACCUCUUUUAGCAGGGAAGAAGCGAAAGUGACGGUACCUGCAGAAAAAGCACCGGCUAACUACGUGCCAGCCGCGGC
rnacentral:rRNA from 1 species